rnacentral:rRNA from 1 species
NNCGACCUGAGAUCAGACGAGAUUACCCGCUGAAUUUAAGCAUAUCACUAAGCGGAGGAAAAGAAACUAACAAGAAUUCCCCUAGUAACGGCGAGUGAAGCGGGAAGAGCCCAGCGCCGAAUCCCUAUCUUGUGGGUAGCGAGAGUUGUGGCGUUUAGGACAGCCUUUGUUGCGACGUUCAUCUGUCCAAGUCCGUCUGAUUGCGGCCUAUCCCAUAGUGGGUGUCAGGCCUUUACCGGCAGUUGACGUAGUANUCUGANCGUCCUUGGAGUCGNGUUGUUUGGGAAUGCAGCCCAAAGUGGGUGGUAAACUCCACCUAAGNCUAAAUNCUGACACGAGACCGAUAG